rnacentral:misc_RNA from 1 species
GAUGAAGAACGCAGCGAAAUGCGAUACGUAAUGUGAAUUGCAGAAUUCAGUGAAUCAUCGAAUCUUUGAACGCAUAUUGCGCUCUCUGGUAUUCCGGAGAGCAUGCUUGUUUGAGUAUCAGUAAACACCUCAACUUCCAUAUCUUUUUUGAAAUGGGAGUUGGACUUGAGUGAUCCCAACGCUUUUCCUCACCGAAAAGUGGCGGGUUACUUGAAAUGCAGGUGCAGCUGGACUUUUCUCUGAGCUAUAAGCAUAUCUAUUUAGUCUGCCUAAAAAACGGAUUAUUACCUUUGCUGCAGCUAACAUAAAGGAGAUUAGUUCUUGUGCUGACUGAUGCAGGAUUCACAAAGACAGGCUUCGGCCGACUUUGUAAACUCGAUCUCAAAUCAAGUAAGACUACCCGCUGAACUUAAGCAUAUCAAUAAGCGGAGGA